rnacentral:rRNA from 1 species
UGCCUGCCCGGUGAUUUAUAAUAUUUAACGGCUGCAGUACUCUGACUGUGCAAAGGUAGCAUAAUCAUUAGCCUGUUAAUUUCAGGCUGGAAUCAACGGCAAGACGAAGGAAAGACUGUCUCUUUCUAUUAUUUAGAAUUUUUUUUUUUGGUGAAGAAACCAAAAUAUAUAAGUGGGACGAGAAGACCCUAUUGAGUUUUAGUUAUUUAGUAAAAUAGAAAUUUUAUUAAAUAGCUUUAGUUGGGGUAACUGUUUAUAUAAUUAAACAUAAAUAAAAAAAUUUUUGAUUUAAAUCUUUAAUAUAAAACCCAAAAUUAUUUUGUAAGUAAAAAAAAUUACCAUAGGGAUAACAGCGUAAUUCUUUUUGAGAGUACAUAUUGACAAAAGAGUUUGCGACCUCGAUGUUGGAUCAAGUUUUCCUGAAGGUGUAGCAGUUUUCAAGGGUUGGUUUGUUCAACCAUAAAAAUCUU